AUUGAACGCUGGCGGCAGGCCUAACACAUGCAAGUCGAACGAGUGGCGGACGGGUGAGUAAUGUCUGGGAAACUGCCUGAUGGAGGGGGAUAACUACUGGAAACGGUAGCUAAUACCGCAUACCAUCAGAUGUGCCCAGAUGGGAUUAGCUUGUUGGUGGGGUAAAGGCUCACCAAGGCGACGAUCCCUAGCUGGUCUGAGAGGAUGACCGGCCACACUGGAACUGUGAAACGUGCAAGACGCGUACGGAAGGCAGAAGUGGGGAAUAUUGCACAAGGGGCGCAAUCCGGAUGCAGCCAUGCCGCGUGUAUGAAGAAGGCCUUCGGGUUGAAAAGUACUUUCAGCGGGGAGGCGUUACCCGAAGAAGAAGCACCGGCUAACUCCGUGCCAGCAGCCGCGGUAAUAC
rnacentral:rRNA from 1 species